UACGUAGGGUGCGAGCGUUAAUCGGAAUUACUGGGCGUAAAGCGUGCGCAGGCGGUUCGUUGUGUCUGAUGUGAAAGCCCCGGGCUUAACCUGGGAAUGGCAUUGGAAACUGGCGAGCUAGAGUAGGGUAGAGGGGUGUGGAAUUCCAGGUGUAGCGGUGAAAUGCGUAGAUAUCUGGAGGAACAUCAGUGGCGAAGGCGACACCCUGGACUCAUACUGACACUGAGGUGCGAAAGCGUGGGGAGCAAACAGG
rnacentral:rRNA from 1 species